ensembl:snoRNA
GUCGAGGCCUAUCCCAACAGGGCUUUUUCUGUGGGUCUACACUGUUGGAAAUGCCUCAGAGAAUAACUGUGUGGUUUCCUUUACUCACAGAACUGCAUGUUAGAUCUGUGGGAAAGAACUACAAGACAGAG